GAUGAACGCUGGCGGCGUGCCUAAUACAUGCAAGUCGAGCGAACGGACGAGAAGCUUGCUUCUCUGAUGUUAGCGGCGGACGGGUGAGUAACACGUGGAUAACCUACCUAUAAGACUGGGAUAACUUCGGGAAACCGGAGCUAAUACCGGAUAAUAUUUUGAACCGCAUGGUUCAAAAGUGAAAGACGGUCUUGCUGUCACUUAUAGAUGGAUCCGCGCUGCAUUAGCUAGUUGGUAAGGUAACGGCUUACCAAGGCAACGAUGCAUAGCCGACCUGAGAGGGUGAUCGGCCACCCGGGAACUGAGACAGGGUCAUGACUCCUACGAGACGCAGCAGAAGGGAAUCGUCCGCAAUGGGGGAGAGCCUGACGGAGCAGCGCGGCGUGAGUGAUGAAGGUCUUCGGAUCGUAAAACUCUGUUAUUAGGGAAGAACAUAUGUGUAAGUAACUGUGCACAUCUUGACGGUACCUGAUCAGAAAGCCACGGCUAACUACGUG
rnacentral:rRNA from 1 species